rnacentral:rRNA from 1 species
GCUAACUCCGUGCCAGCAGCCGCGGUAAUACGGAGGGUGCGAGCGUUAAUCGGAAUUACUGGGCGUAAAGCGCACGCAGGCGGUUUGUUAAGCUAGAUGUGAAAGCCCCGAGCUCAACUUGGGAUGGUCAUUUAGAACUGGCAGACUAGAGUCUUGGAGAGGGGAGUGGAAUUCCAGGUGUAGCGGUGAAAUGCGUAGAGAUCUGGAGGAAUACCGAUGGCGAAGGCAGCCAUCUGGCCUAAUACUGACGCUGAGGUACGAAAGCAUGGGGA